rnacentral:tRNA from 1 species
AAGAUUCUAGUAAAACCAUUAUAUUAGUUUGUCAGGCUAAAGUUACGUUAGUGAUUCUUA